rnacentral:rRNA from 1 species
UGGGGAAUAUUGCACAAUGGGCGCAAGCCUGAUGCAGCCAUGCCGCGUGUAUGAAGAAGGCCUUCGGGUUGUAAAGUACUUUCAGUGGGGAGGAAGGUGUUGUGGUUAAUAACCACAGCAAUUGACGUUACCCGCAGAAGAAGCACCGGCUAACUCCGUGCCAGCAGCCGCGGUAAUACGGAGGGUGCAAGCGUUAAUCGGAAUUACUGGGCGUAAAGCGCACGCAGGCGGUUUGUCAAGUCGGAUGUGAAAUCCCCGGGCUCAACCUGGGAACUGCAUCCGAAACUGGCAGGCUUGAGUCUUGUAGAGGGGGGUAGAAUUCCAGGUGUAGCGGUGAAAUGCGUAGAGAUCUGGAGGAAUACCGGUGGCGAAGGCGGCCCCCUGGACAAAGACUGACGCUCAGGUGCGAAAGCGUGGGGAGCAAACA